UAAAAUGUUACGAAACAGCUUUGGACGAACUAGGUUUCCCAAUUCAGAUAUGAAAUUGAAGGCGCUGGAAAAGGUUUUUGGGGUUAUUAUCGAUAGAUUUGAGAAGAGAAGAAUGCAGGGGUUUCCUUGUACCAAUUUGAGGCGGUUUGUAGUGAUUGGGUUUUAGACCCCUAUUUUGGAUCUUAAAUUCGAGCAGGCUGAGAGAGAUUCGAGAGGAGCUGCUUUGGGUCUUAGCAAGAGGAAAGUGAGGAGAUUGUUUGGUGUUAAUUUGGGGGUGAGAUGAGGCGGUGCCGCCAGGUUUCCCGGUGGUGGGAAUUUAGGGGCGAUUAGGUUCUGAUGUCUAUGAACUUGAGAGUGA
rnacentral:lncRNA from 1 species